rnacentral:siRNA from 1 species
UAAGAUUGGGUUGCGGUUUAAG